AACGAACGCUGGCGGCAUGCCUAACACAUGCAAGUCGAGCGGAGCGGCGGAAGGGUGAGUACUGCCUAGGAAUCUGCCUGGUAGUGGGGUAAAACGCCCGGAAACGGGCGACAAUACCGCAUACUAUCAGAUGAGCUUAGGGCGGAUUAGCUAGUUGGUGGGUGAAGGGCCUACCAAGGUGACGCUCGUUAACUGGUCUGAGAGGAUGCUCAGUCACACUGGAACUGAGACACGGUCCAGACUCCUACGGGAGGCAGGAGUGGGGAAUAUUGGGCAAGGGGCGAAAGCCUGAACCAGCCAUGCCGCGUGAGUGAAGAAGGUCUUCGGAUUGUAAAGCUCUUUAAGGUGGGAGGCGUUAACUACAGAGUAAGCACCGGCUAACUUCGUGCCAGCCGCCGCGGUAAUAC
rnacentral:rRNA from 1 species